rnacentral:rRNA from 1 species
UACGGAGGGGGCUAGCGUUGUUCGGAAUUACUGGGCGUAAAGCGCGCGUAGGCGGCUUUGCAAGUUAGAGGUGAAAGCCCGGGGCUCAACCCCGGAAUUGCCUUUAAGACUGCAUCGCUAGGAUUGUGGAGAGGUAAGUGGAAUUCCGAGUGUAGAGGUGAAAUUCGUAGAUAUUCGGAAGAACACCAGUGGCGAAGGCGACUUACUGGACACAUAUUGACGCUGAGGUGCGAAAGCGUGGGGAGCAAACAGG